GGCAGGGUGGCAUAAUGGGAAGAGUAUGUGCUUUGGAUCAGAUGAUCAUAGGUUCAAGUCCUAUAUACUUGCUA